AGCUUGUGUACGCGAGAUUUUUGUAAACAGUCAGAAUGAAAGAAAAUUGUUGCCCUCGUGCAAACGCUGAAGUGCUUGUGAGAUGUUACUAUUUACAUGCAGUAAUAACUGUUGGGGAAUAGACAGAAAGAUUUUUGAUAUCAAAUCCAAGAACUGGGUACUUAUAUACAUUUGUGGUACAUCGCAUGUGUUUCAUUGCGCCACUUGAAACUGAAGUGUAGUCGUGACACUCAUAACAAUAUUUUCAAGGAA